ACAACGUAGUAAAAGUAUAUAAAGGAGCUGCGGCGUGCCUAAUACAUGCAAGUCGAGCGAAUGAAUUAAGAGCUUGCUCUUAUGAAGUUAGCGGCGGACGGGUGAGUAACACGUGGGUAACCUGCCCAUAAGACUGGGAUAACUCCGGGAAACCGGGGCUAAUACCGGAUAACAUUUUGAACCGCAUGGUUCGAAAUUGAAAGGCGGCUUCGGCUGUCACUUAUGGAUGGACCCGCGUCGCAUUAGCUAGUUGGUGAGGUAACGGCUCACCAAGGCAACGAUGCGUAGCCGACCUGAGAGGGUGAUCGGCCACACUGGGACUGAGACACGGCCCAGACCCCUACGGGAGGCAGCAGUAGGGAAUCUUCCGCAAUGGACGAAAGUCUGACGGAGCAACGCCGCGUGAGUGAUGAAGGCUUUCGGGUCGUAAAACUCUGUUGUUAGGGAAGAACAAGUGCUAGUUGAAUAAGCUGGCACCUUGACGGUACCUAACCAGAAAGCCACGGCUAACUACGUGCCAGCAGCCGCGGUAAUACGUAGGUGGCAAGCGUUAUCCGGAAUUAUUGGGCGUAAAGCGCGCGCAGGUGGUUUCUUAAGUCUGAUGUGAAAGCCCACGGCUCAACCGUGGAGGGUCAUUGGAAACUGGGAGACUUGAGUGCAGAAGAGGAAAGUGGAAUUCCAUGUGUAGCGGUGAAAUGCGUAGAGAUAUGGAGGAACACCAGUGGCGAAGGCGACUUUCUGGUCUGUAACUGACACUGAGGCGCGAAAGCGUGGGGAGCAAACAGGAUUAGAUACCCUGGUAGUCCACGCCGUAACGAUGAGUGCUAAGUGUUAGAGGGUUUCCGCCCUUUAGUGCUGAAGUUAACGCAUUAAGCACUCCGCCUGGGG
rnacentral:rRNA from 1 species